CAACCUGACAUAACCUUAACCUGUUUGGCUGUUUUUUUUUCCGCACUAAUCAAAACAAAAGCAUGCGUCGUUGUGUUCAACAACAUCGAUCGCACGAAGAAAUCUAAUGUUUACCCGAUUAAACUUACGAAACUCUAAAAUAAUGAGUGAAUCUUACAGGACCAAACAUAACAAUGCAAACCCAACUACACUCUUUGUUGAACUAAAACCCAUGAUAAACCACUGAUCAAACCAUCCACUGUGACAAAACAUUCACAAUCCCUCACUAAUUAUAUACCAAAGUUACUAUUCUACAAUAAGAUAUGACAUACUUUGUUAAUGCUGAUGAUGAUGAUGUUCUAUAUUUGACAACCAAACUCUGAGACUAUAUACUAUGAAGUAAACAUCCUGACUCAGGUGAAGAAGUGUAUUGCAACCGCGCUCAAAAUAGGAACAACUAAACUACCCGCAUAAUUCUUAACUUACAAAGAAUAUAUUGACACUAAAUGAGGUCCUAGCCUACUUUAUAUGGUCUAACACUUUAUCAACAACAGUUUACUUGAUCUACAUUAAUUGUUUUCUAAAUUUAUUGUUAUGUCUGACCGCUACCCUUUCAUCACAAAAUAUUUUUUUAUUAUUUUUUCUUUCAAAUGAGAUUAAUGUUAUAUUUUCUUUUCUUUAUUAACUGUAACUCAUUGUAUUUGUUUAGAGAAAUGUCUGAUAACAUAUUCUGCUACUAAUUGGCUCUCUGGAAUUUCAUAAUUAGACAUUUGGGCUUUUCCGGUUACUCUAAGUUAGAAUGAUAGCAUAGAUAGUGUUACAGUUCUAUCCCAACUCCUAUGAUCAAUGUUGUAUAAUAUAUCUACUCUUUCAGACAUUCAAGUAUAAUAAUUUAAGAGCCUAGUUUUUAAGCACCUAGUCGAUGACAAGCAAAGAUCCGAUCCAGAAGCACAAUCAACCACAUCAACAAACCAAAGAACCCGCACAACAAAACUCAUACAACCAAUACCAAACUGAACCAACCCAGCCAAAAGGAUAAUUAAUAAUUAUAGACUAGUUGCUAUAAGUACCGAUUCCCCCGCAACCAGGCCAGUCCAGCCCGGAACCAACCAUACAAGCUCCGCCACGCAAACUCCUCGAUCCACCGAUGCAGCCGACCGCACCUCCAGACCAAAAUCCCCACCCCUCAUCUACCUGGGCCAGAAUUUCUUUAUCUAUUCUAAUCAUUUCAGGUUGUUCAUAAGGACUAAAAUGCGCCGCGUUUUCGUUACAUUUGUUUUUUUUUUUUUUUUUAUAUAAUUUUUGAUUUUAAUAAAUGUUUUACUGCUUUUACCUAAAAUAAAACCAUAUCAUUAUUUUAC